AGGGAUUGCCCCAGUAACGGCGAGUGAAGCGGCAAGAGCUCAAAUUUGAAAUCUGGCCUCCCCCGGGGGUCCGAGUUGUAAUUUGCAGAGGAUGCUUCGGGCGCGGCCCCCGUCUAAGUUCCUUGGAACAGGACGUCAGAGAGGGUGAGAAUCCCGUCUUGGGCGGGCGGCCCGCGCCCGUGUGAAGCUCCUUCGACGAGUCGAGUUGUUUGGGAAUGCAGCUCUAAGCGGGUGGUAAAUUUCAUCUAAAGCUAAAUACCGGCCGGAGACCGAUAGCGCACAAGUAGAGUGAUCGAAAGGUUAAAAGCACCUUGAAAAGGGAGUUAAACAGCACGUGAAAUUGUUGAAAGGGAAGCGCUUGCGGCCAGACUCGGGGGGCGGGGUUCAGCGGGCGUUCGUCGCCCGUGCACUGCCCGCUCCCCGGGCCAGCAUCAGCUUCGACGGCCGGUCAAAGGCCCCCGGAAUGUGUCGUCUCUAGGGACGUCUUAUAGCCGGGGGUGCAAUGCGGCCCGUCGAGACUGAGGAACGCGCUCCGGCUCGGAUGC
rnacentral:rRNA from 1 species